GCCCACCUGAGAGGGUGAUCGGCCACACUGGGACUGAGACACGGCCCAGACUCCUACGGGAGGCAGCAGUAGGGAAUCUUCCGCAAUGGACGAAAGUCUGACGGAACAACGCCCCGUGAGUGAUGAAGGUUUUCGGAUCGUAAAACUCUGUUGUUAGGGAAGAACAAGUACCGUUCGAAUAGGGCGGUACCUUGACGGUACCUAACCAGAAAGCCACGGCUAACUACGUGCCAGCAGCCGCGGUAAUACGUAGGUGGCAAGCGUUGUCCGGAAUUAUUGGGCGUAAAGCGCGCGCAGGCGGUUUCUUAAGUCUGAUGUGAAAGCCCCCGGCUCAACCGGGGAGGGUCAUUGGAAACUGGGGAACUUGAGUGCAGAAAAAGAAAGUGGAAUUCCACGUGUAGCGGUGAAAUGCGUAGAGAUGUGGAGGAACACCAGUGGCGAAAGCGACUCUCUGGUCUGUAACUGACGCUGAGGCGCGAAAGCGUGGGGAGCGAACAGGAUUAGAUACCCUGGUAGUCCACGCCGUAAACGAUGAGUGCUAAGUGUUAGAGGGUUUCCGCCCUUUAGUGCUGCAGCAAACGCAUUAAGCACUCCGCCUGGGGAGUACGGUCGCAAGACUGAAACUCAAAGGAAUUGACGGGGGCCCGCACAAGCGGUGGA
rnacentral:rRNA from 1 species